UACACAUUAUUAACAAAUUAAACCAAAAGUUAAACAUGAGUUUAGGAAAAUAGAACCGAAAUAAGAGAGUGCAGAGGUUUCUUCCUCUCUGUCUUUCACGCUCACGUCUGACUGUCACUCUGCUGCCCUCGGCUUCCGUUUCUUCCUCUCUGUCGGUUUUCUGCUGCCGCAAGGCAGCUGUCUGCCUUCUGUCCUCCCUCUGACUUGCAAUCCCGCGCCCUCUCCCUCCUUUUAUUUCUUUUCCUGCUCCAUUUUCCAGUCCCCCCUCUGCUGUCUCUCACGCUGCCCCCCAAAGGCAGCUUCCUGUCAGUUCUCUUUUUAUUUCCUCCAGCCCCCUGUCAGUCUCCCCUACUCGUUCCCUUUAUUAUUCUUCCUAUUCUGCUGUCCGUGUCAGCCUCUCAAUCCCGUCCCAUUUGUAGCAUUUUCUAUUAUUUUCUUUUCAGCCAGCACAAUCCACUUCUUUCUUUUUAUUCUUCUUUUCCUUUUCUUAUUACUUCCACUCUUCUUUGUCUACUGUUUUUCUUUUCUUUCUGUCUCAGUGCUCUCUCUCUUCUGCCUGUUUUAUUUAUGUUCUUUUCUUUCCGCCAGUCUCCCACUCCUCUCUGUCAGUGUUUCCACUUUUCUUCCUUUUAAUUGAAAUUGAUCAUAAAACACAUUUAACUGCACAAUAACACAAGGUAAGGUAAAAUGCCACAAUUUUAACACAAAAACAUCACAAAGACUUUAGAAAUAAAUGGUAUAAAUGCAUGAAAUAUAUGAGUGAUCAAAUACCCCCAAACUUACAUUUUUGCUAGUCCUCGAGCAAAACGAAGAAAACAAGAACAAGAAGUAACAAGAAAAACAUUAGCUUCCCUCUAUGUGACCUUCAUAGAAUUUCAUUUAAGAAAACAAAUCAUCAAGAACCAUAGCUAGCAUCAAGGAACUAAUCCAAGUUCAUCUUCCUAAUUCAAAUAUUAGCAAUAAUCUUUGAAUCAUCCUUGAAGUGUAGUGUGUGAGAUAGCCAUGCUAAUGCAAUUUCAAGUUUUUUAUUUUUAAAAUCAUCAUAUGCAAAUUAGCGACCAUCUCACGGGAUAUGCACUCAAUCACAACAUGUGUUUAGUUUUAAUGUGUUUCGCUCAAAGAAUCAAAUGUGAAAUUUCUACCAUAAGCUUGCAUAAAGAUCACUUCUCCACAGUCAUAAUUGCAAAACUUAAAUCAAGAGGACUUUUAUUGGAUGUAAUGAGGUUUAGGGAUAGGGUUAUUGAAACGAUAGAAUAGGAAAACACAAGUUCCAAGCUACAUUGCAAGCAAUUCUUUUCUUUAGAUUUAUAAGAACUCAAGCUCUCCAGCAAUUCUUCUAGCACCUCCAACCACACCCUAAAACUGAAACUUUAAAAACUUUUUAUUUCAUUUGUAUACAAUCUUUCUUUUUCUUUUCUCUUUUUUUUUUUAUUUUUUUAUUUUUUUUUUAUUUUUUAUUUUUUUUAUUUUUUAAUUUAUACAAACAUGAAAUACCCCCACACUUAUUCUUUUGCCAAACACCUUCAGAGUACUUCACAAACGUUUCUCAUAAGACAAUCUCGCAUUGCUCGCUUGGAAAGGGUAAGGAAAAAAUUUCAGGUAUAAGGGUAGACAUAUCUUGGUGAUAAGAAAUAAAAAGGCUCAACAUACACGGCUCAAAUUGGCAAUCUAUAUGAUAUCAUUUUCUUUGGGAAACAUGGUUAUUUGGGUCAUAGUGGUAAACCUAAUGCCUCUAUCAUUUCCAAGUUCAUGCAGUCAAUGACAACAUUUCGAAAGAUCGUUACGCAAGUUCUAGAGAUGUAUCUCACAUAAGUUCAUCACACAUAAAAAAAUAGGAGUGUAUGAAAAAUGCACACACUUUCAAUAGGCUCAAAAACUCACAUAGGAUGUAUAUGGUCACUAAAUUCACAUAUGAAGCUUUAAGUCAUGCUUUAGUUUCACAUCAACAAGGCUAUGUGCAUUUGGUUUUUCAAAGAUGAUCAAACAUGUACAAAACUAACAAGAGAAUUAGGAAUUUCACAAAACACAUGUUAACUAAGUUCUUUGAUGAUCAUGGUUCAAAAUUUGAUCCAAUUAUAUCAUUGGGUCGGGAAACUAACAAAAAUCUAAUUCAAAACAAUAAGGGAAACCAGACAAUAUUUUUGGAUUUUUAAAUUUUCUGAUUUUUUUUUUAAUUUUUUUUUUAUAUAUAUAUAUAUAUUUUUUUUAUUAUUAUUUAAAAGAAAACAAAACUAAUUAAGAAAACAAAAAGCAACAACAUGGAAACAAAUGAAACUCGUUCGUAGUUGAAGGUACAAAAAAAAUUUCAAUUUGGUCAUUUUUUAUACUCUUUACCCCCAAACUUAAACUGGACAUUGUCCCCAAUGUCAGAAACACUAUAAUGCAAUUAAAAAUAAAAUAAAUAAAUAAUAAGAAACAAAAUAAAGCAAUUGGACUGAAAACUUCCCUAGUUUGCAGUAAAACCAAGCGAUGACCCCCCAAGCUAAAAUUCUGCAAUCAACUUCAAGGGUGGAAAGAACCAAAAGUUCCUGCAAAGAAAAGAAAUAAUUCAGUUAAGUAACGCAAGAAAAUGUAAAAUUGAAAAUCACGAUAAAAGACAAUGAAUAGAACUAAUAAGUGAUCAUUGGUCGUGCUUGUUGACUUUCCACAGCUUUCCUCUUGAACGGGGUGACACUUAGCUUUUUACUUGCAAGUGAUGAUUUGAUGAUAUUGUACGGCGAAGCUUUGCUCUUUGGUGAUGUUGUUGAAGCUUCUUGAGUUCUUCAACUCAGAUUCCUUCUGCUCUCGAGUUGAUUGUGCAGGCUCAAUUCCUUUUUUGUUCUCCAAGCAGAUGUGGCAGCUUCUCUAGUUCUUCAUCUCAGACUCCUUCUGCUUGGAUGAUUGUGCAAGCUGCAUUCUUCUCUGCUUGUUUCUUCUGCACGACGGGCAGGCACGAGGGAAAGGUGUUGGUCUGUUUCUUUCUUCAAUCUUUCCAAGUGCCCACCUCUUGCUCUCUUUCUCCUUGUCCUUAGUUGAGGAUGAAUCAGCACGUUGUCUCCACAUGCUUCGAGGUAUCAUCUUCACUUCCCUUAGACGUGAGAGACGAAGCGAAGGCAUAAGAUGAUGAGUACUCGAGAGCAGGUGCUGACUGGAGAAAGGACAGGGAGAAAGCAUGAUAUGAGAUACUCGUGCUCUCAACCUUUAUGAUAUGAAAUACUUGUGCUCUGGAUGGGUUGUUUGCAGGGGUAUCCCAGGGGAUGAAAAAUACAGAGUGACUCGAGAGGGUUCUUUGGGAAUGCAUUCUCGGAGAUGAAGAAGUGCUGAGAGGGUGUGCCUUUGCUGUGGGAAGGCGAAGGUAGACACUUAUAGGACUUUUCUUCACAACCGGAAAUAUUCCCUCACUCAUUGUCGGCAGCCGGUGGGAUGGAUGAAUAGUACAAAUUACGCGCUUUCUGACAAAGCUGCCCGUAAUUUCCGCAAAACUGCCAGUUGCAUGUGACGAGUGAUGACACGUCUGGACAAAUUGAUCUUUUGAAAUCUGGGGUUCGGCUCGUGGUUUCUGAGCAAGCCCAAAUUUUAAGAAAUGAAACGCCUCUUUUGAGAAAAGAAUCCGACUUUUGAGAAAGGAGCCCCGACUCUUCGAUUUGCGAGAGGACGCUUCUCUGAGGAGCGCCUCUUUGAUUUCUUUUUUAUAGAGGCGUUAAUUUUGUUCCACAACACACUUGAGCUCUCUCCUGUAAACACUCCCUUCUUGCACUUCCAAAAUCUUAAUCAGUCCGACUCUCUUCUUUCUUCACCACCUCUGAAAAAUGUCUGGCCCUUCCGAUCGUCGUUUUGACUUGAACAUUGGUGAAGAGGCAGCUCCGCCUUCACCAGACAACAUAUGGCGCCCAUCCUUCAUAUCCCCUACUGGUCCUCUUACCGUUGGGAUUCGGUGAUGAAAAAAUGACAUGACCGCUGCGGUGGUGGCCCGGAACCUUGUCACCCCCAGAGAUAACAGACUGCUCGCUAGACGGUCUGAUGAAUUGGCGGUUAAGGAGUCUCUGGCUCUUAGCGUGCAGUGUGCUGGUUCUGUGUCCAACAUGGCCCAACGCCUAUUUGCUCGAACCCGUCACGUUGAAUCGUUGGUGGCUGAAAUACAGAGUCUCAAAGAGGAGAUUAGAGGACUCAAGCAUGAAAAUAAACAAUUGCACAAGCUUGCACACAAUUAUGCCACAAACAUGAAGAGGAAAAUUGACCAGCUGCAGGAAAAUGAUAGUCAGAUUUUACUUGAUCACCGGAGGUUUGUGGGUUUGUUCCAACCGCAUCUGCCUUCGUCUUCUGGGGCGGCACCGCGUAGUGAAGCUCCAACUGAUCAACCUCUGUUGCCUCCUCCUUCUGUGGCCCCGCCGACUGCUGAAGCUCCGCCGACUACUGAAGCACCACCUGACCAAUGAAUGCUAUUAGUUUACACAUCAUUGUAAAAUAUUUUUUACUUUUAUGUUUUUUUUUUUUUUUUUUUUUUUUUUUUAAAUCAAUGUAAAAUAUGUAAAUCAAUGUAAAAAGACUUUGUUUAACCUUCCCCCACACUUAAACUAAAUAACACAAACUCACAGAAAUCAACCAAAUAACACAACUAACUGAACAAAACAAAAUGAAAGCAGUAAAGAUAAGGGUGUAAGAAUGCAAAUCUGAUUUGGUUAGCGAUUCCAAAGUCUCCCUUCGUUGAAUGCUUGGGUUGCCUCCCAAGAAGCGCUUGAUUUAACGUCUUUAGCCGGACGAAUCUUUCCUUUAAACUCCACUCUGCUCCAAAGCAUGGAAUUUAUCUUUUAAUGGGAGGUGAUACUUGAAAUGAUUCGGCAAUGGUUUAAAUUCAAGAGUGGGUGCCUGAAUCAUUAAAAUCAGAAACAUGUUAGUAUAAAUUAAAAUUGAAAUUGGAGAAGAUGGCUUACUUUCUUUUUCCGACACAAACUCAAUGACAAACACCACAUCUUUGAACAUUUCCGGGACUUUGAACUUGGCCAGGUUUACUAUGAUGGUUGUGGCUUGUCCCGUGUCAUCAAACUCAACUGCUUUGUGCUUGAUUGUCUCAUGCACAACCUCUUGGAUGUAUUCUUGAUAUGCUUCAACCACUUCAUUCUCUUGAAUCCCUUUUCUUGGUGUGCAAGGUUCUUUGAACGUUUCAAUACCAUCGGGAACUUGUUUUGGUGCACCAAGAAUUGGGAUAUCACUUUGCACCUUUGGAAGAGCUUCCACAAUGUCUUUUUCACUCUCUUUGAUAUUUGGAAUAAAAAACCUGCAAGGACAAAAGACAUUCGGUGGAAUAAUGUUAGAAUGAAGUGAAUUUAGAACUUCCUCACCUGAGUUGGAUGACAUAGGGAUUUGAGGAGCUUGCAGCAAAAAUUCUUCUAAACUGCCCAGGUCGUCCUCCUCCUCUUCUGCUUGCAGCAGCAAUUCAUCCAUGUUCGGGCUGUGUUUGGAUAGUUCUGGGACAGCUUCAUCCUUCAUGUCACCUUCCAAAGUGAUAGCAUCGUGGAUUUCAAAAUCUUCCUUCGAAUUUUCAACACUUGAGCUAGAGAGUUCACUUUGCUCUUGAAUUUGUACCAUGAAUUCCAUAAUCUCUCCCAUUUGACUCAUCAAUUUAUCCAACUUCUUGUCUUGAUUUUGUUGGUCCUGCGUCAAAGAGGUUAGUACUUGAAGAAUUUGAUCACUAUCCAUGGACACCCUUGAAGUUGAUUGGAAUUGUUGUGGGGUAUGCGGUGGUGGCUGCAUAGGCGUUAAAUAAAACUCCUCAGAUUGCUGCCAAUAUCCAUCUUGUUGAGCCUCCUUGGCUUGAUUUUAUGAGCCCUGCACCAAAGAAUUUAAUUCAUCAAAAAUUUGAUUGUAAUCUAUUGACGAAUCUGAGUUUGAUUGGGCAUAUUGUAUAUGAGGUUGUGAAUAGAACUCCUCCUCUUGCUGCCAAUAUCCAUUUUGUUGGAAUUGUUGAGGUUCCUCCCACAUAUAAUUUGAAUGAUCUCUCCAAGCCGAAUUGUAAGCGUUGGAAAACAUGUUGUUGCUUGGUUGAUCAUAGCCUUGAUAACCCCAAGCAUCUUCGUUCACAGUGAAUUGAGGAUGUUGAUAUCCUUGCCCAUAGGGCACAUCAAAUGUAGGGACACUUGGCAUUGUGGUCCGUUCGGCAUUAUGAGUCAAUUGAGCAGUGAGCUGUGCCAAUUGAGCUUGAAUGGUCGCAAGUGCCAUGUCUUGCUCCAUUUGUACCUAAAAUCAAAGAAAGAAAAAUAAAUCAAAUAUCAAAAGUAAAAUACACAAACACCAAUAUAAACAUAAACAAAAACAAAAAUAAAAAUAAAGGGAUUAGCAAAGUUGCUAAUCCCCGGCAACGGCGCCAAAAUUUGAUGUGAGAAUUACUUGACACACAAAUUAAACCCUCUUUUUGACAAUUGUAGUAUAGAUGUAAGUAGGGUAUCGUUCUAGGCCGGGGAUUAGGAGGGAUUGCUAAUCUAUUCUAAAUUAAUUUAAAAAAUAUUAAACAAGACUCAAGGACACAAAACUAGGCUAAAAACUCUAAUAACUCGAAACACACUUAGAAUGACUCAAAAUAAUGAAAACAAUCAAAUUAGACACUAGGAACUGAAAUGGACGGAAAUUGAAUUAAAAGACUAACAACAAUGAAAACUAACUAAAUAAUAUAAUUUAAUAAUGGGGGGGGGUUUGGUUUUGACGAGAAGUAAAUUAAACUUAAAUAAAUUACAGAAUUGACAAAAGCAUGAAAUUAAGGUGAAAGGAUAGAUGACGGACUAGCUAGAGGGUUUUUCUCCACACAUGACACAUAUGCAGCCUAAAUUGAUUUUCAGUUGUUCUUUCAAUAAAUUGUGAAUGACAAUGUUCCAAGUUAAUUAGGUCUGCUUAAAUUAACUCUUAGAUUUCCCUAGAUUCAUUGGAUUGAAUGGAAUACGCAUUACAACCAAAUUAUUCCUCAUCAAAGUCCCUAACUAUGGAAUACGCAUGAUAGAGACAUUCAACAAAGAUCAUUAAGUUCAACGGAAAUCAUAAACAUUGACUAGGCAUUCAUAACUAUGGAAUACGCAUGUUAAUCCAGCCUAGAAUUCACUUAACACGAUUGUGGAUAACAACCUUCACUACUUGUGAAUAUAAGUUCAUAAAGAUUAGGUGAAAUUCACUUAUAUUCUAGCAUCAAAUUCAUGCAUGUAAAUUAAGUAUGCAUUCUUAAUCGACAUACAAAAAUAAGUUAUCAAUCAAGCAGUUAAGCAAAUUAAAUCACAACUCAGAAAUCACAACUGAAGGUAAUCAAUUCAUAUUACAAAUAUAUCCAUGGCUUUGAAUUAACCUCUAGCCAAAAUAAAUUUAGUUACACAUUAUUAACAAAUUAAACCAAAAGUUAAACAUGAGUUUAGGAAAAUAGAACCGAAAUAAGAGAGUGCAGAGGUUUCUUCCUCUCUGUCUUUCACGCUCACGUCUGACUGUCACUCUGCUGCCCUCGGCUUCCGUUUCUUCCUCUCUGUCGGUUUUCUGCUGCCGCAAGGCAGCUGUCUGCCUUCUGUCCUCCCUCUGACCUGCAAUCCCGCGCCCUCUCCCUCCUUUUAUUUCUUUUCCUGCUCCAUUUUCCAGUCCCCCCUCUGCUGUCUCUCACGCUGCCCCCCAAAGGCAGCUUCCUGUCAGUCUCCCCCACUCGUUCCCUUUAUUAUUCUUCCUAUUCUGCUGUCCGUGUCAGCCUCUCAAUCCCGUCCCAUUUGUAGCAUUUUCUAUUAUUUUCUUUUCAGCCAGCACACUCCACUUCUUUCUUUUUAUUCUUCUUUUCCUUUUCUUAUUACUUCCACUCUUCUUUGUCUACUGUUUUUCUUUUCUUUCUGUCUCAGUGCUCUCUCUCUUCUGCCUAUUUUAUUUAUUUUCUUUUCUUUCCGCCAGUCUCCCACUCCUCUCUGUCAGUGUUUCCACUUUUCUUCCUUUUAAUUGAAAUUGAUCAUAAAACACAUUUAACUGCACAAUAACACAAGGUAAGGUAAAAUGCCACAAUUUUAACACAAAAACAUCACAAAGACUUUAGAAAUAAAUGGUAUAAAUGCAUGAAAUAUAUGAGUGAUCAGAAGUCUAAUUAAACAAAAACACUAAAGAAAGAAAAGAAAGCGUACUUAAGACUUGGAGAUUGCUUGAAUCGGUAGACUUGAACUUUUGUUGAUAUAUAGAAUGUUUACAAAGAGAAAUGUUCACAAAGAAAUGUUUACAAGGGAAGUGUUUACAAAGAAAUGUUUACAAAGGAUGCUAGGAAGGUUUUGGAUGCUUAAGUGUAUGAGGAUUGAAGGAUGGUGUGAGUAUAUGGUGAGUGUAGGGUGUUUAGGUGUUGAGAUGUUGAGGUAUGUUUUUACAAUGAAUGAAACUCCUCUUAUAUAGACUGAGUGAGAAUACUCUGAAAAAAUUAAAAUCUUUACAAAUGUAUGGUAUAGACAUCUCCUUGGUACUUGUCAUCUUCUACUGUGGUUGAAAUUGUCAUCAUUGUUUCUGAAACGUGAUCUGACUGAUUUGUCUUCUUUUUGCUUUGCAUGUGAACUUGCUUGUCUUCUUUUGUUUUGUCUUGAUAAAUGCAUGUGAGCUUGGUGCAUGGCUGUCUCCUGAAGCCCAUUUUUGCUUUUGUUUUGAGCAUGCAUGUGAUAUUUCUGAAAUGUUUUUCUUCCUUGUUUUCUUUCUCAUGCCCAUUUUGGGUAUUAUAAAAAAAAUUGGCCCAUGAUUAAAAGGAAAGUUUUUUGGGAGUUUUAACGAAAGGGGCUUGGUACUAUUCAUUCUUAACCAUAAGGACAUUUUAUGUAUGAAAAGUCUGUAAUAGAUCAAACUCUUCUCUUUAUUUACUCUUAUGCCAUUACAUGCGGACCACAACGAUGUUGACAUUUCUGUCUGGAAAUACAUUAUGAUGCUAUUCAUCUUAUGCUAAUUUACAGCUAGUUCUUCAGGCUUCCAUCAUGUUAUCGAUGUUAUGCAACUCUUUUUCUGACAAAUUAUUCCAAUACUGUUCAUCGCCUUCUACUAGCUCCGCAUCUCUUUCUCUAUCUUCUUUCACCUUGUAAUAUAUUUCUGCUGUUUCUUCUUUGAAAUUUUGAGGCUUCCAAUAAGGCUGAUGAUUGAUUCUUGUCUUGCUGUAAAUAUACAUCUCUUCUUCUUCUGCUACUAGUACCAUAUCAUACCUAAAAUCUUCAAACUCAUCUAAAGCAAACAUUUGGAUCCCUCUAAAUUUUAAAAUAUCUUUGUAUGAAGGAGUCCACCUAUGUGAGGAGAUAGGGUUUAGUCUAAAGGACUCUUCAUUGAUCAUGGCUAUAUGCCUAGCUUUCUCCUUAUGCAUGUGUACAUACCAAUCUGGAGGACUACUAAUAAAACUUAUGCAAAUUUCUUUCCACCUUUCUAGAUAGUCUUCUGCUACUUUAAUAAGCUUUUCAGGAAAUGAUUCUAGUUGAGAAAUACAGUUAAUAAAUAUUUUAUCGAGAUAACCAAACUCUAAUAGUAGGGCAGGGGUAACUUCUACCUCAUUAUGCUUUUUCUGAUGCUCAUAACUAAAUGCCAUGUUUUAAAAUCUCUCAUGUCAAUCCUGGCCACAGCUACGCUAACCUCUGGUUUACAAAUACAAUUCUCUGUACUAUCACAAAGACAUGGAGGAUACAUCUUUGUAAUAAUAUCCAUCCCUGGUUUUGGAUCAAAGAUGGACUGAUACAAGGCGCAUUGUAAUUGUAAUUGUAACUCUUUCAUGGACUGUGAUGCUCUGCUCAGGAUCUUAUUUUGCAUAUCUGUUGACAUUAUUCUCAGUUUUGCUUUUGAAAUUUCUUCUAAUAAAACAUCGUCUAAUAUUAAGUCUGAAGAUAUAUUCCUAAGAAAACUUUCAUAUUUUUCUUGUUUUUCUUUGUCACUCCGAACCUGAUGCUGAUCAUUACUUUGAUGUUGCUCCAUUUCAACGUCUUCUUCUAAGAGCUCAAUCUUAAUUUCUUCUAUGGGCUCAUUAGCGUCUUGUUCUAUGGGUUCAAUAACCUCUUUUCCUUUAUGCUUAUGCUGAUCAAUCUCUAAACCUAUUUUUAAUUCUCUUUUCAAGGUAUCACUUGCCUUUUGCUGCAUUCUAAGAGAUUGGAGUUCUUGGUUCAUUUUGGUAAACUUACCAAGUAAUGACUCAUGGUCCCUAGAAAUGGCUUGAAGAUUGUGCUCAAGAGAAUGAAUAUGCUGCUGGUUUUGGUGGAAUUAAAAUUAAAGCUAUCAAACUCUUGUUCCAAGGCUCAAAUUAAUUUUUCAUGACCUAACCUCAUGCUUGGCUGCUUAAUUUGGAUAUUCCAGAAAUUAUCUAAGAGAACUUGUUGCCUAUCAGAAAGCCCCGGUACCCUUGACCUGUAUCUCAGAGUUGGAUUUCUGAUUCCUUCAACAAUAUUGCCAUUAAAGUUGAACGUGGGUACUGGUGGUGAUGCUGGUCUGCUCAU
rnacentral:lncRNA from 1 species